rnacentral:rRNA from 1 species
UCCAGACUCCUACGGGAGGCAGCAGUGAGGAAUAUUGGUCAAUGGCCGGAAGGCUGAACCAGCCAAGUCGCGUGAGGGAAUAAGGCCCUAUGGGUCGUAAACCUCUUUUGUCAGGGAGCAAAGGCGUCCACGUGUGGACGAGAGGAGAGUACCUGAAGAAAAAGCAUCGGCUAACUCCGUGCCAGCAGCCGCGGUAAUACGGAGGAUGCGAGCGUUAUCCGGAUUUAUUGGGUUUAAAGGGUGCGUAGGCGGGCUGUUAAGUCAGCGGUCAAAUGUCGGGGCUCACCCCCGGCCUGCCGUUGAAACUGGCAGUCUCGAGUUGGAGAGAAGUAUGCGGAAUGCGCGGUGUAGCGGUGAGAUGCAUAGAUAUCGCGCAGAACUCCGAUUGCGAAGGCAGCAUGCCGGCUCCACACUGACGCUGAGGCACGAAAGCGUGGGUAUCGAACAGGAUUAGAUACCCCCGUAGCC